AAUAAUUACAAACUGAUAUGAUUGUCAAUGAACUAGGGAAGUUAUACUAUUAUACUAGCAAACAACCUUGUUUCGCAACUAUAUGUAUCAUAGUUCUAAACAUACAUGAAAUAUUUGCCACUGGAUGCUAAGCAACCAACAAAUCUUUAAUUCAUCGCUGUAUCAUGUCAAACCUCAGAAGGUAGCAUGGAAACUAACUACAACUAAUAUGAUUGUCAAUAAACUAUGGAAGUUAUACUAUUAUACUAGCAAACAUCCUUGUUCCACCACUAUAUGUAUCAUAGUUCUAAACAUACAUGAAAUAUUUGCCACUGGAUGCUAAGCAACCAACAAAUCUUCAAUUCAUCACUGUUUCAUGUCAAACCUUAGAAGGUAGCAUGAAAAUUAACUACAAACUAAUAUGAUUGUCAAUGAACUAUGGAAGUUAUACUAUUAUACUAGCAAACAACCUUAUGUCAUCACUAUAUCAUAGUCCUAAACAUACAUGAAAUAUUUGCCACUGGAUGCUAAGCAACCAACAAUCUUUAAUCUAUCGCUGUAUCAUGCCAAACCUUAGAAGGUAGCAUGGAAACUUACUACAAACUAAUAUGAUUGUCAAUGAACUAUGGAAGUUGUACUAUUAUACUAGCAAACAACCUUAUGUCAUCACUAUAUCAUAGUCCUAAACAUACAUGAAAUAUUUGCCACUGGAUGCUAAGCAACCAACAAUCUUUAAUCUAUCGCUGUAUCAUGCCAAACCUUAGAAGGUAGCAUGGAAACUAACUACAACUAAUAUGAUUGUCAAUAAACUAUGGAAGUUAUACUAUUAUACUAGCAAACAUCCUUGUUCCACCACUAUAUGUAUCAUAGUUCUAAACAUACAUGAAAUAUUUGCCACUGGAUGCUAAGCAACCAACAAAUCUUCAAUUCAUCACUGUUUCAUGUCAAACCUUAGAAG